GGCUCAGAUUGAACGCUGGCGGAAUGCUUUACACAUGCAAGUCGAACGGUAGAGGGGGCAACCCCUUGAGAGUGGCGAACGGGUGAGUAAUAUAUCGGAACGUGCCCAGUCGUGGGGGAUAACGUAGCGAAAGUUACGCUAAUACCGCAUACGAUCUAAGGAUGAAAGCGGGGGGAUCGCAAGACCUCGCGCGAUUGGAGCGGCCGAUAUCAGAUUAGGUAGUUGGUGAGGUAAAGGCUCACCAAGCCAACGAUCAGUAGCUGGUCUGAGAGGAUGAUCAGUCACACUGGAACUGAGACACGGCCCAGACUCCUACGGGAGGCAGCAGUGGGGAAUUUUGGACAAUGGGCGCAAGCCUGAUCCAGCAAUGCCGCGUGCAGGAUGACGGUCCUAUGGAUUGUAAACUGCUUUUGUACAGGAAGAAACACUCCCUCGUGAGGGAGCUUGACGGUACUGUAAGAAUAAGGAUCGGCUAACUCCGUG
rnacentral:rRNA from 1 species